rnacentral:rRNA from 1 species
UACGGAGGGUGCAAGCGUUAUCCGGAUUCACUGGGCUUAAAGGGUGCGUAGGCGGGCAUGUAAGUCCGUGGUGAAAUCUCCGAGCUUAACUCGGAAACUGCCAUGGAUACUAUGUGUCUUGAAUGUUGUGGAGGUGAGCGGAAUAUGUCAUGUAGCGGUGAAAUGCUUAGAUAUGACAUAGAACACCAAUUGCGAAGGCAGCUCACUACACAAAUAUUGACGCUGAGGCACGAAAGCGUGGGGAUCAAACAGG